rnacentral:rRNA from 1 species
AGAGUUUGAUCCUGGCUCAGGACGAACGCUGGCGGCGUGCCUAAUACAUGCAAGUCGAACGAACGGAGGAAGAGCUUGCUCUUCCAAUGUUAGUGGCGGACGGGUGAGUAACACGUGGGCAACCUGCCUGUAAGUUGGGGAUAACUCCGGGAAACCGGGGCUAAUACCGAAUGAUAAAGUGUGGCGCAUGCCACGCUUUUGAAAGAUGGUUUCGGCUAUCGCUUACAGAUGGGCCCGCGGUGCAUUAGCUAGUUGGUAGGGUAAUGGCCUACCAAGGCAACGAUGCAUAGCCGACCUGAGAGGGUGAUCGGCCACACUGGGACUGAGACACGGCCCAGACUCCUACGGGAGGCAGCAGUAGGGAAUCUUCCGCAAUGGACGAAAGUCUGACGGAGCAACGCCGCGUGUAUGAAGAAGGUUUUCGGAUCGGAAAGAAGUGUUGGUAGAGCAAAACAAGGAUAAGAGUAACUGCUUGUCCCUUGACGGUAUCUAACCAGAAAGCCACGGCUAACUACGUGCCAGCAACCGCGUUAAUACGUAGGAGGCAAACGUUGUAAGGAUUUAUUGGGUGAGAAGCGCGCGCAGGCGGUCUUUUAAGUCUGAUGUGCAAGCCCCCGGCUUAACCGGGGAGGGUCAUUGGAAACUGGAGGUCUGGAGGGCAGAAGAGGAGAGGGGAAUUCCACGUGUAGCGGGGAAAUGCGGAGAUAUGUGGGGGACCCCCAGUGGCGAAGGCGACUCUCUGGUUUGUAACUGACGCUGAGGCGCGAAAGCGUGGGGAGCAAACAGGAUUGGAUCCCCUGGUAGUCCACGCCGUAAACGAUGAGUGCU